rnacentral:rRNA from 1 species
GAUGAACGCUGGCGGCGUGCCUAAUACAUGCAAGUCGAACGCUUUUUCUUUCACCGAGACUUGUCUCACCGAAAGAAAAAGAGUGGCGAACGGGUGAGUAACACGUGGGUAACCUGCCCUCGAGAAGGGGAUAACACUUGGAAACAGGUGCUAAUACCGUAUAACAAUAACUGCCGCAUGGCAGGUAUUUGAAAGGCGCUUUUGCGUCACUCGAGGAUGGACCCGCGGUGCAUUAGCUAGUUGGUGAGGUAACGGCUCACCAAGGCGACGAUGCAUAGCCGACCUGAGAGGGUGAUCGGCCACACUGGGACUGAGACACGGCCCAGACUCCUACGGGAGGCAGCAGUAGGGAAUCUUCGGCAAUGGACGAAAGUCUGACCGAGCAACGCCGCGUGAGUGAAGAAGGUUUUCGGAUCGUAAAACUCUGUUGUUAGAGAAGAACAAGGAUGAGAGUAGAACGUUCAUCCCUUGACGGUAUCUAACCAGAAAGCCACGGCUAACUACGUGCCAGCAGCCGCGGUAAUACGUAGGUGGCAAGCGUUGUCCGGAUUUAUUGGGCGUAAAGCGAGCGCAGGCGGUUCUUUAAGUCUGAUGUGAAAGCCCCCGGCUCAACCGGGGAGGGUCAUUGGAAACUGGAGAACUUGAGUGCAGAAGAGGAGAGUGGAAUUCCAUGUGUAGCGGUGAAAUGCGUAGAUAUAUGGAGGAACACCAGUGGCGAAGGCGGCUCUCUGGUCUGUAACUGACGCUGAGGCUCGAAAGCGUGGGGAGCAAACAGG